rnacentral:rRNA from 1 species
GACGAACGCUGGCGGCGUGCUUAACACAUGCAAGUCGAACGGAAAGGCCUCUUUCGGGGGGUACUCGAGUGGCGAACGGGUGAGUAACACGUGAGUAACCUGCCCUUGACUUUGGGAUAACAUUAGGAAACUGGGGCUAAUACCGGAUAGGAGCUCCUGCUGCAUGGUGGGGGUUGGAAAGUUUCGGCGGUUGGGGAUGGACUCGCGGCUUAUCAGCUUGUUGGUGGGGUAGUGGCUUACCAAGGCUUUGACGGGUAGCCGGCCUGAGAGGGUGACCGGCCACAUUGGGACUGAGAUACGGCCCAGACUCCUACGGGAGGCAGCAGUGGGGAAUAUUGCACAAUGGGUGGAAGCCUGAUGCAGCAACGCCGUGUGCGGGAUGACGGCCUUCGGGUUGUAAACCGCUUUCGCUCAUGACGAAGCUUUGUGUGACGGUAGUGGGUAAAGAAGCACCGGCUAACUACGUG